GACGAACGCUGGCGGCGUGCUUAACACAUGCAAGUCGAACGGUGAAAGCGGAGCUUGCUCCGCUGGAUCAGUGGCGAACGGGUGAGUAACACGUGGGCAACCUGCCCCUCACUUCGGGAUAACUCCGGGAAACCGGGGCUAAUACCGGAUAUGACCUCCUUGGGCAUCCUUGGAGGUGGAAAGUCUUUCGGGGAGGGAUGGGCCCGCGGCCUAUCAGCUAGUUGGUGAGGUAACGGCUCACCAAGGCGACGACGGGUAGCCGGCCUGAGAGGGUGACCGGCCACACUGGGACUGAGACACGGCCCAGACUCCUACGGGAGGCAGCAGUGGGGAAUAUUGCACGAUGGGCGCAAGCCUGAUGCAGCAACGCCGCGUGAGGGAUGACGGCCUUCGGGUUGUAAACCUCUUUUAGCAGGGAAGAAGCGAAAGUGACGGUACCUGCAGAAAAAGCACCGGCUAACUACGUGCCAGCAGCCGCGGUAA
rnacentral:rRNA from 1 species